GCUGAAGUUGUGUUUAGUCUAUCCACACCUCAGGUUGCUCCAUGUGAACCUCAGGUGGACUACAGGUGGAAACAGGUGCUGCAGGAUUCUACACUAAAGUGCACUCAGCAUGCAGCUCUACCAUGACCUGCACACAGAAAGGCUCCAGCCGGCCAGGUCAGGUUCAAACCCAGCACCAUCCAGUUGUAUGUGAGGCAACACCAACCACUUUGUCCCCACGUUGCUCAUACUCACUUGCUGGUGAUGCCUCCUCCGGGGGGAAGCCCUGGCAUCUCCUCUGCAGCCAGGAAUUUGAUCACAUGUAACAGGUCAGGGUCCUCGUCUUUGGACCUCAUCAUCUGGAUAAUUUCUCUCUGCCUCCUGCUGCAGCGCCUCUUGUGACACCUGGGGGGCGCCGGGGAAGCAGACGAUGAUGAUGCUCAUGUUGUCCAAGCUGCCCUGCAGAGGGAGACAGAGACAUCAGAGAAGUAUGACAGGAAGCAUUUCAGUUUUAAUUCAAGUUGAAGUGAAGUGGUGGAAGCAGGUUUCUGGAGCAGUACUGUGCCACUGUGGAGCCUGCAUGUCCAUCAAAAACAGCAAAGUAUCCCCACUCCUUCAGCUCUCCCCUGAGCUCGGGCAUGCAGGUGUGGGCGUCCUCCAUCUGAGCCCUCCAGCCCUG